ACGUUGUAACUACGGUGAACAUCGCCACAUUAUACAAAUGUGAACGCUGACUCACUCUCCCAGGUGUUUGCACUCCUCCCUCUCCUCAUCCUCUUGUCUUUCACUAGAAGAUAAUUGAGAGUGGCAUCCGAGGUGGGAGAGGAGGGGAGGAGGUGAAAGCCAGAGAUGACCGGAGAGGAGGUAUGACCGCAGGGAGGAGGAGGACUGACGGGAUAGUUUUUUGGGUGAUUGCGGUACGAAUUAAACGUCACAUCAUCAUGAAAACGUGGCGCCGAAGACGUGAUUUUAAUCAUCAUCGGUUGACAACGGACUCACACAACAUCUCUCUGUGUGUCUCUAAAUCAAAUCUGAAUCUCUCUCUUUUGCGUAAGAAUCCGAGAAACGAAACCUCAGUCUCGAUUUUCCACUAAAUCAACAUUAAUCUCCGACUUUCCACGCGUCUCUAAAUCACCUUCAGUCUCAGCACUCAGCUUAAUUGAACUCGCUUUCGCUGCCAUGAAAGUAGAAAGUUGUCAAAAAUCAAGAUAAAUGACCGUAAAUGAUCAUCUUAGUCUCAGAUAAUCAAUUUUCCUCCCACGUAGCAGUGUUUUUGUUUUGUGUCUGGUUUGUUACACAAGUUUUCUGACUAUUAAACUUCUCUUUUUAUUCAUUUAUAUUUGCAAUUAUAAAAAUAUACUAUAAUAUAAUCAAAAUACUGCUUUGUGUCUUUAAUAAUCUUUGUCUUUGGCAACUUGCGUCCAGCACAGGAGGAUGUGUGUCACAGGGUGAAGCUUUCAUCCAAAUGUAACACAAAUUCUAACAAAAUUUCCAGAAAAAUCCAUCCUCUACUGUGACUAUCAGGAGAUAAACAGGCGCAAAUUCUCCAGUUGGUGCCAUUAAAAAUACUGCAGAAGAAGAGAACUUAAUGGGGAAAAGAGCAUCAGUCAAAGCUCAAGCAAUGGAAAAUCAUGUGGAAAGUGUGAUGGAAAUAUGACAUUUCUGUUUGUUUCAUGUAUUAGUUUCAUCAGCUCUUCAGUGAUGUGUUUAAGUCUUCAUGUACAUCAUCAUUUAUUCACUAAGUCUGUUUAUAUUUGCUUUUUAUCCACACAGUUACUUUUACACAAUUAGGAAACAAUUUUUUUUUUUAUGAUGUUUUGACUUUUUGUCCCGUUUCCCCGUGUUUCCACUCAGGGUUUUUUUUUUUUUAUUCACAAAUUGAUGCAUAAAAACAGGUGGAUGGAAACAAACUUCAUGACAUAUUUGGAUGCACAAAAUGUUUUUUCUGCUCAUUCUCUGUUUGCUAAAUUGCACCGAUGCUUUCAAACCUCAGAUGGAAAUUAUUGAGGCUUGCAGUGAUUCUUUGUGGUCUGAAUGUAAUCAACCGUAAUUAAGAUUAUUCCUGUUAAAGGUUGAUAAACACUUUAUGAAUUACAGCUGAACAACAGCACAUACUGUAAAAUUGAUUUUUCCAAAAACAAGACAACAAAUUACAACUAAUCAGUCCAAUUUACCACCAGAAGUUUGUUCCUGUUUGUGUGGAAAAGCCUCUGAGAUAUUGUGUGAAUCACUGGAGAACGCUGAAAGUCACGAAAUCAACCACAUGCAUCUGCAGACUCGUGUGAACAGAGCAGAAGGGAUUCUCUUGCUGUUUUUUUUUCUAAAUAGUUGGGAAGUCGACAACACAGCGCAGUAAAUAUUCAUCUUCUCUCUGUUUCAAGCCUCCGUCGAGACUAAAACUGUGUUUCUCUCGCCCCAAAACAGUGUUUCAGUGUGUAAAAAUCAAGCUUUCGCAAAACGAUGAUGUAAGCUGGACUUUAUGGCGCCUCAGAU